UGACCAGGUGAAUAAGUCGGCCUCUU
rnacentral:piRNA from 1 species